rnacentral:rRNA from 1 species
GACGAACGCUGGCGGCGUGCUUAACACAUGCAAGUCGAACGGAAAGGCCCUGCUUUUGUGCGUUGCUCGAGUGGCGAACGGGUGAGUAACACGUGAGUAACCUGCCCUUGUCUUUGGGAGAACUUCAGGAAACUCGGGCUAAUACCCGAUAGGAUCUCCUGCUCCAUGUUGGGGGUUGGAAAGUUUCGGCCGUUGUGGAUGGACUCGCGGCUUAUCGGCUGGUUGGUGGGGUAGUGGCUUACCAAGGGUUUGACGGGUAGCCGGCCUGAGAGGGUGACCGGCCUCAAUGGGACUGAGGGACGGAGCAGACGGCUACGGGAGGCAGCAGUGGGAAAUAUUGCACAAUGGGCGGAAGCCUGAUGCAGAAACGCCGCGUGCGGAAUGACGGCCUUCGGGGUGUAAACCGCUGUCGCCUGUGACGAAGCGUGAGUGACGGUAAUGGGUAAAGAAGCACCGGCUAACUACGUG